GUCCCAGUGGCUCAGUGGUAGAGCAUUUGAUAAAUAUCAUAAAUUCUGUGCGGAAUGUAAAUAUUGUCAAAAGCACAGGGUUCGAAUCCCUGCUGGGACU
rfam:Lentinula edodes NBRC 111202 DNA, contig: scaffold48.